rnacentral:rRNA from 1 species
CUGGCGGCGUGCCUAACACAUGCAAGUCGAACGAGAAAGUGGAGCAAUCCAUGAGUACAGUGGCGUACGGGUGAGUAACACGUGACUAACCUACCCUCGAGUGGGGAAUAACUUCGGGAAACCGAGGCUAAUACCGCAUAACAUCUACGGAUCAAAUGCGCAAGCAGCUUGAGGAGGGGGUCGCGGCUGAUUAGCUAGUUGGCGGGGUAACGGCCCACCAAGGCAAUGAUCAGUAGCCGGCCUGAGAGGGCGCACGGCCACACUGGAACUGAAACACGGUCCAGACUCCUACGGGAGGCAGCAGUGGGGAAUUUUGCGCAAUGGGGGAAACCCUGACGCAGCAACGCCGCGUGGAGGAUGAAGCCCCUUGGGGUGUAAACUCCUUUCGAUCGGGACGAUUAUGACGGUACCGGGUGAAGAAGCACCGGCUAACUCUGUGCCAGCAGCCGCGGUAAUACAGAGGGUGCAAGCGUUGUUCGGAAUUAUUGGGCGUAAAGGGUGCGUANGCGGUGCGGUAAGUCUUCUGUGAAACCUCCGGGCUUAACUCGGAGCCUGCAGGGGAAACUGCCGUGCUGGA